rnacentral:rRNA from 1 species
CGGGUGAGUAACGCGUGGGAAGCUACCUUGUGGUAGGGGACAACAGUUGGAAACGACUGCUAAUACCCUAUGAGCCCUAUGGGGGAAAGAUUUAUCGCCAUGAGAUGUGCCCGCGUUAGAUUAGCUAGUUGGUAAGGUAAUGGCUUACCAAGGCGACGAUCUAUAGCUGGUCUGAGAGGAUGAUCAGCCACACUGGGACUGAGACACGGCCCAGACUCCUACGGGAGGCAGCAGUGGGGAAUAUUGGACAAUGGGGGCAACCCUGAUCCAGCCAUGCCGCGUGUGUGAUGACGGCCUUAGGGUUGUAAAGCACUUUCAGCAGUGAAGAUAAUGACAUUAACUGCAGAAGAAGCCCCGGCUAACUUCGUGCCAGCAGCCGCGGUAAUANGAAGGGGGCUAGCGUUGUUCGGAAUCACUGGGCGUAAAGNUNANGUAGGCGGACUGAUAAGUUAGGGGUGAAAUCCCUAGGCUCAACCUUGGAACUGCCUUU